GGGGGGCCUAUACUGGCAGUCGAGCGAGCUUGCCUAGAUGAUUUUAGUGCUUGCACUAAAUGAAACUAGAUACAAGCGAGCGGCGGACGGGUGAGUAACACGUGGGUAACCUGCCCAAGAGACUGGGAUAACACCUGGAAACAGAUGCUAAUACCGGAUAACAACACUAGACGCAUGUCUAGAGUUUGAAAGAUGGUUCUGCUAUCACUCUUGGAUGGACCUGCGGUGCAUUAGCUAGUUGGUAAGGUAACGGCUUACCAAGGCAAUGAUGCAUAGCCGAGUUGAGAGACUGAUCGGCCACAUUGGGACUGAGACACGGCCCAAACUCCUACGGGAGGCAGCAGUAGGGAAUCUUCCACAAUGGACGAAAGUCUGAUGGAGCAACGCCGCGUGAGUGAAGAAGGGUUUCGGCUCGUAAAGCUCUGUUGGUAGUGAAGAAAGAUAGAGGUAGUAACUGGCCUUUAUUUGACGGUAAUUACUUAGAAAGUCACGGCUAACUACGUGCCAGCAGCCGCGGUAAUACGUAGGUGGCAAGCGUUGUCCGGAUUUAUUGGGCGUAAAGCGAGUGCAGGCGGUUCAAUAAGUCUGAUGUGAAAGCCUUCGGCUCAACCGGAGAAUUGCAUCAGAAACGGUUGAACUUGAGUGCAGAAGAGGAGAGUGGAACUCCAUGUGUAGCGGUGGAAUGCGUAGAUAUAUGGAAGGACACCAGUGGCGAAGGCGGCUCUCUGGUCUGCAACUGACGCUGAGGCU
rnacentral:rRNA from 1 species